rnacentral:lncRNA from 1 species
ACAUAAACUCUAGAAUGAUGGAAUCGGCUGAACCAAAUAUCUGCUUACCUGAGAUUGCAAAGGAAGAAAAUCCCAAGUCUAGGAAAUUGAGUUUGAAAGUGAUGAUACAAAAGUCUUCGGGUAAGUUUUUGUAUGCUCAAGCUAAGGAUGAGUUUGUGGAGUUCCUGUUUAGUUGCCUCCAUAUUCCACUAGGAGGAGUUGAGCAUCUUCUUUCCGGCAAGGCUUGCGUUACGGCUAUAGACAACUUGUACCGGAGCACACUCGAUGUUAUAGAUGACAAGUAUUUCAAGACAAAUACUAUGAAAGAGAGACUAACGAAACCUAAUGUGGUUCAUGGUUGUAUUUCCAAAGACCACAUUCUUCCCCUCGUUGAAGAACCCUUGCCUGAUGCUUACUUUAUUGAAGAUGAUUUCUAUCCUUUUUCUAAGUUUCCCAAAGGCCCUGGGCGUUAUCUAAGAGGACCGCGAACUUAUGAGGUAAAGGAUGAUUUAACUGUGGUGCCCUUUUGUAUUGUCUCCAUUCAUUCCGGUCUCAGGGCGAAGAGAAUCUCCAUAUCUGAUGUCGAAGAAGUGGAGAUGCAAAUCGGACUCAAAGAGGUAAUACAAUUAGAAAUCUGUGUCAUUUGAUUCAUUGUGUGUAUGUUUAGAUGUUGAGAUGAAUUGUGUUGGUGCAGGCUUGUAGCAUACUGAAAGCCUCCCUUACUUCUUCUACUGCUCUCACUGAUGCUCUACUGAGUGGCAAAUCGUUCGAACAACCUCAGAGAGAAGAAGAAGUCUGCGUGUGAUAUGAUAUCCAUGCUUCCAAUUAUUUUGCUGCUCCUGUGUGUUGCAAUGCCAAUUGUGCUUCUUUUUUUAUUUUGAAUUAUGGAUCUUGCUACUCCAAUCAUUUUGUCCUGUAAGAAAUGACUUUAUGGAGGCUUGUAUUUUGGCUGUUAGUUAUGUUUUUCAAACUUUUUCACUAAUUAAUGCAACAUGGGCUUUAUUUAUGACUCACUCCCUUUACAAUAUUGUUUUCACUUUUGUCAUUUUGGUCCGUUCACAAUAUCAUUUUCAUUUAUGUUUAUAGUAAUAGAGUCCAUAAACUUCAUUAACAACAAUAGUGAAAUCCAAACUUCACUCACAAUAAUACCAAUUACUAUCCACCAUUUUUCUAAAACUCCUGCCGUCCAUAAAAUUGAAUCGAUAUCUUCAACGGAGAAAGUAUAAUUUUACAUAAAGACAAAAAUGAUAAAAAUAAUUCUUUUUGUUGGAUAGAGGAAGCACUUGUAAGAUUUUACAAUAAAUUUGUGGCCACAUUAUGACUGGCCAUAAAUUAAUCAAAUUACAAAAAAAGUGAUUUAUAUAGAAUUUCGGUUCAAAAUAUAAUUGGAGUUUCAAUAUUGUGUACAUAUUGUAGCUAUUUUUUAUUUUUUUAAAAAUAAAAUAUUGAAAACUACAAUAUGCACAGAAUUCUAUUUUGAUUUAAAAAAAAAAAUCAUUUUUUUUUAAUUUGGUUGAUUUUAUGGCUGGCCAUAAACCCAAACAGUACCACUCUAUAUUUUAAUAUUGAAUUUCUUCCAUAAGUGGCUUCCACUGAAAGACUCAAAGACACUUUUGACUUUUGUCUCAGAAAAUCAGGCCUUUGAAGACCAUCUUCAAAUAGAUAGAACUCUAAAAAAGGGGCUCACGGAAAAGUGGUUGCGAAGCUCUUUCCGGCCUCUACUUUCAUCCACCGCCGCCACAAACUUCUAUUUCCGGCCACCAAAGUUAAGGUAAUUUUUAGUUAUCAAAGACUUGUUAUCAUUUCUUCUUUGCAAGCUUACCUUUUGCAGUUGUUAACACACACUAGAUCCAUACAUUGUUGAAGUGGUAUGAUGUCAUAAGAUUGUUUUACAUGAAUAUAUCUUAGAAGAGAUUUUAGCUCAUCAAGAUCAAAGAAAGGUUUAAGCUUGUAUCCUUGUACGAAAACUUGAGCUUUAUAUUUUGGCAAUAAUUUAGUUUAGUUUUCUUAAUUAUCUAAUCUUUAGUAAUAACUUAAGUUUUAUUUAUAGAUCUGAAGAAGAGGUCUGGCGUCCAUCCAUCAUCAUCUCCAUUUUGUUCAAUAAAAUGGUGAACAAAAUAAACGAAAUAAAUUCUGAAGGAUCUUCAUCCGGGGUACCCGUGGUAAGAGUCUACAAUUUCGAUUCCAAUCUAUGAAUCUAUCACCGCAAGUGUUCUAUUUUUUUAAUAAUUUCGUAAUUGCAUGCUUAGAUUGCUCAAAUAUGGGAAGAAUUAGGGCUUAUGUAUUUUAGGGCUUAUGUAUUUUAGUUGGAAUUCAGAAGUAGAAAAUAUGUAGGCCAUAUUCUUAGUUUGUAGAUUUCUUAGGAUAAAAAAGCAUCUUUAGUUGAGGGUUGAGGUGUGGUUUAACAGAAUAAGAAGGGUUUUUAGGCUAAGGGGAUAAGUUAGAUUUGUUAACAUGUAACAAAAGUAAAGUAUUUGUACAUAGUAGAUUUCUUAAUUAGGGCUUGUGUAUUUUAGGAAUUUGAAUCUCUAUUGUGUAAAUUUUGAUAUAAAGAAAGUUUUUCUUCAAGUGUGCCAUUUGAUCAAAUACCUUUACUGAACUUUUACAAAUUCUUAAAUCAUCAAUGCAGAAACGAAAGUGGAUUCAGGAGACUUCUUCUCAGGUAAUUUUUUUCAUAUGUUUUAAAGAUAGUUUUUCUUCAAGUGUGCCAUUUGAUCAAAUACCUUUACUGAACUUUUACAUACCUUAAAUCAUCAAUGCAGAAACGAAAGCGGAUUCAGGAGACUUCUUCUCAGGUUUUUUCUUAUAAUCAAAAAGUAAACAGAAAAAUCAAUCGAAAUUCGAAAAAAUAUUUUAUUUUGUAAGAGUUCUAAUUAUCAUACUAGGUUAUGAAGUUCUUUUACGAAAGUUUAUAUAGCUUAUUAGUAGUAAAUAAACAUCACUUAGGGUCCCACAAUAUAUAGCUUAACCUAAUGGCUUGUAAAUUUUGAAAUGCAGAAACGAAAGCGGAUUCAGGGGACUUCUUCCCAGGUAUUUUCUUCAUAUGUUUUAAAGAUAGUUUUUCUUCAAGUGUGUCAAUUGAAUAUCUUUACUGAACUUUUACAUACCUUAAAUCAUCAAUGCGGCUAUAUCAACUCCGGUAGGUCUUGGAAUUUGGUGUGGCUAUAUUAACUCUUGCAUAAUUAAUCUCAUGCUCACAAGUAGGGAGUAAAUGCGGAAGGUCUCGGAAUCUGGAGGGACUAUCGACUAUUACUUUAACUUCUUCCACCAUUGAAAUACUCCAUCUUUAUCCCUCAUUAGUCUUUGUUUUGUACCACUAAUACUAACACAAUGUCUGAUUCUAAACAGGAUGUGAAGCUCUCGUUGAAAGUGAUUACAAAUAAACAGAGAAAUAAGGUUCUCUUUGCAGAAGCCGACAACCAUUUUGUCGACACUCUGUUGAGCUUCUUAACUUUGCCGUUGGGAAGAAUCAUCCAACUCCUCGACAACCACUGUGGCGAUGAGGCACCCGCCAUUGGAAGCUUAAGCAGUUUGUACCACAGCUUAGCAAAUCUCGAUACCUCCCAUUUCUGGACAGAGGGAGCUAAGGAGGCUCUGCUCAAUCCAAAAAGUUCAGCCGAAGUUGAAUACGAAAUGCUGAAACUCGAUAUCAGUGAUUCUCCGCCCGCACGAUAUUUCGAUUGUUAUGGGAUCCGUUAUACAUUUCGCAGUGAAAGCAUGUACUAUGAUAAGGCCAGAUGCAGCUUAUGCAAUUGGUUACAUUAUGUGGUGGAAGAAAAAGGCGGAGAGCAUGCGUGUCCUUCUGGAAGUUUCAUCACUAAUAUAGCAUCAUCUUUCAUAAUCUCCGAUGAUCUGCAGAUAUUCCCCAUUGUGACAGGACUUUGUCAAAUCGUCACCAUUCUUGGCAUUAAAGACGCGGAUGAGGCUGGGGCUGAGGCGAACGAAGUGACGAUUGGGUUGAAUGAGGUGAUUCUUGAUUCUCUGUGACUCUAUCUACAGUUUCAUUCUUUUUCUGUUUUUGCUUACAACUCUUUUGAUUACAUAUUGUGAUUAGAUGUUGAGUCUGCUGAAGGCUUCCUUCAUUUCCCCAACUCCAUUGUCAAACCUCAUACUAAAUAAAGCAAGUGUAAUUCUUGAUUCUGAGCCGAAGAUCACUUCAGUUGAUCACAUUGAAAUCCAAGAAAAUCCCAAUUCGAAGAACAUAGUAUUGAAGGUGAUGGUGCAGAAGUCUAGUGGGAAGGUUUUGUAUGCUCAAGCUGAGGAAGAUUUUAUCGACUUUCUAGUUAGUCUUCUGUAUAUCCCACUAGGAGGCGUUCACCAUCUUCUUUCUAGUAAGACUUGUAUUAAGGCUUUAGACAACUUGUACCGGAGCGCAGCUGAUCUCAAACACAAGUAUUUCAAGUGCCCAGCUAUGAGAAACAAGCUAAUGAAACCUAAUGUGGUUCAUGGUUGUAUUUCCGAA